rnacentral:rRNA from 1 species
UGAGGAAUAUUGGUCAAUGGGGGCAACCCUGAACCAGCGACGCCGCGUGAGGGACGAAGGCCUUCGGGUCGUAAACCUCUUUUUCAGGUGACGAGGAAGGACGGUAGCCUGAGAAGAAGCCUCGGCUAACUACGUGCCAGCAGCCGCGGUAAAACGUAGGAGGCGAGCGUUAUCCGGAGUUACUGGGCGUAAAGCGGAUGUAGGCGGUGGCUCGCGUCGGAUGUGAAAGCUCUUGGCUCAACCGGGAGAGGGCGUCGGAUACGGGGUCGACUAGAGGGCAGCAGAGGAGCGUGGAAUUCCGGGUGUAGUGGUGAAAUGCGUAGAGAUCCGGAGGAACACCAGAGGCGCAGGCGACGCUCUGGGCUGCAACUGACGCUGAGAACCGAAGGCAUGGGGAGCGAACGGGAUUAGAAACCCCGGUAGUCCAUGCAGUAAACGAUGCACACUGGAUGUCUGGGUGCUCGCAAGAGGACU